ACGUAGGAGGCAAACGUUAUCCGGAUUUACUGGGCGUAAAGCGCGUGUAGGUGGUUCUGUAAGUAGGGCGUGAAAGCUCCUGGCUCAACUGGGAGAGGCCGUUCUAAACUGCAGAGCUAGAGGAUGGUAGAGGGGGGUGGAAUUCCGGGUGUAGCGGUGAAAUGCGCAGAUAUCCGGCGGAACCCCAGUUGCGAAGGCAGCCUACGGGACCAUUCCUGACACUCAGACGCGAAAGCUAGGGUAGCAAACGG
rnacentral:rRNA from 1 species